UCUCUCUCUCUAUCUGUCUGUGGGAGAUGAGAGAGGAGGAGAAAAGGGGGGGAAGGAAGGAAGGAAGGAAGGAAGGAGGAAGAAAGAAGAAGGAAAAGAAGAAGAGGAAGGAUAAGAACACUCAUUCGCUUUGCUGGCGCGUGACUACCGGUUGUGAGACUCGCCUUGUUUUGAUUGGUGGAAAAAUGGGACCAGCUUCUUUUCCGUUGAGGUGGUUUGGUACGGACGUGGAUUGACGCGGUUUGGCCAUUCACGAUGCCAAUAGCCAGGUCGGUGCUUUGUGGGUCCACUGUGAUACAUGUGUUUUAUUCAUUUUUACUUAUCAUUUUAGGGCUUGAUUUAAAAAAUGAGGUAUAUCUAAAUCUCAGGUGGACCACACCACCGAAAACAGCAGUGAUUAAAUGUCCACCGUUGAAAACCUCAUGGGGUACAGUUUAAUGUUUA